UUAGCUCAAAUAGAAGAAGAAAUAGUCUAAUCUAAUUAUUUCGUUAAAAGUCUAGAUAAAGAAAUUGAAUAAUUCAUGGCAUUUGAUUUCUUUAUAAUGGAUCCAUCCAUUAUAUAUCCGACCAUGAUUUCCCCGUUUAAAUUUGAAGAUGGAAUGUAUGAAACCAUAUCGGAUGUUUGAAUACCCGUUCUUGGUUUUAUAGGAUGAAUUAUAUAAAACCAUAUCGGAUGUUUGAAUACCCGAUGAAGCUCAAGGGUUUGAGACCCUUGCUUGUUGGGAAAACAUGCAUUGGGGUGUCCAUUUAAGAUCCGAGCCAUCAAAUUGACAGGCCUUUGAGAAGUUUCAACUGGCAAGGCUACAAUCUUCAAAAGAAAAAUUGAGUAAUUUUUUUUUGUGUGUGUUUUUUAAUUAAAAUUCUACAUAUGAAUUUAAAAUCACUUGUGAUUUAAGUUUAGUAUGACUAAUAAUGUGGCUUUUUAAUUUGUAUGUAGAUUUCCUUCCAUAGUUUAAUCAGGUGUACUGGUCGCGAGGCCGACUUAUAAUAUGAAGACUGCCAAAAAACGUAAACUUCUAUUUGAUUCAUAAUGUUAGCUCUCGUAAUUUGUAAAAUCGCUUAGGAGUCAAGGAACAUGUGUAAUUGUGCUAAUCAUUGUUGUUUUUUUUUCCAUUUACGUCAUACUCUAGUGGUAGCAAAAUUCGCUAAGAAGCUGCAACAAAUGCAUGAUUUCGGUAUUUUCACUCCGUUUGGAACGAGAAUUCCGCAACUAAUGUAUGCAUCAAUUGAGAUCUUUUUUUUAUAUUUUGAAUUUUAGGGAGUUAAUCACAUCGAUGUUUAUAAUUUGUUAAUCACAUCGAUGAGGAGUUAAUCACUCCUCAUCAAACUGUUGACUUACUAACCCGGUGAAGAAAAAGCCGAUCUACAUAUGCUUGUUGCCACUUCUAUUCUACUGGAGUAUUUGUAUUUUAUAAAUCAUGACAAAUCUUAGCCCAAUCCAUGGAGCCCUAAUCUUGAUAAGUAACAAGCUUACAUUUUAUUCAACCAAAAAUGAAACGAGUUAUCAAUGUAUUAAUUUACUUAUGUAAGCUCAUUGGUAAUGUUUUUGACCUUGAAAGAAUCAGCUUAAGUUUGUGUCCCACAUUUAUAGAGGGGAUUAAUAGGAGGUUUUUUUAAAGUUCUAAAUUUGAUUUCAAGCAUUUGUGUAAUGUAAGAAUAGAAAUAAAAUAAUAUGUCAUUAUAAAAAAGCUUUAUAUGAUUUACUUUCUUACGUAAAAA